rnacentral:piRNA from 1 species
UACGUUUUUCACGCAUUUCCC